UAAUGUCGCAUUUGGUAGGCGUAGCAAA
rnacentral:sRNA from 1 species